GAGUGAACGCUGGCGGUAGGCCUAACCCAUGCAAGUCGAACGGCAGCACAGUAAGAGCUUGCUCUUACGGGUGGCGAGUGGCGGACGGGUGAGGAAUACAUCGGAAUCUACUUUUUCGUGGGGGAUAACGUAGGGAAACUUACGCUAAUACCGCAUACGACCUACGGGUGAAAGCAGGGGAUCUUCGGACCUUGCGCGAUUGAAUGAGCCGAUGUCGGAUUAGCUAGUUGGCGGGGUAAAGGCCCACCAAGGCGACGAUCCGUAGCUGGUCUGAGAGGAUGAUCGGCCACACUGGAACUGAGACACGGUCCAGACUCCUACGGGAGGCAGCAGUGGGGAAUAUUGGACAAUGGGCGCAAGCCUGAUCCAGCCAUACCGCGUGGGUGACGAAGGCCUUCGGGUUGUAAAGCCCUUUUGUUGGGAAAGAAAAGCAGCAGGUUAAUACCCCGCUGUUCUGACGGUACCCAAAGAAUAAGCACCGGCUAACUUCGUG
rnacentral:rRNA from 1 species